GGAUUUGGCGGUACCCUAUUCCGACCUAGAGGAGCCUGUCCUGUAAUCGAUACCCCACGUUAUACCUAACCACCCCUUGUAAUUCGGCCUAUAUACCGCCGUCGUCAGCCUACCUUAUGAAAGAGACUAAAGUAGGCAAGAUAGUUAACAACUAAAACGUCAGGUCAAGGUGUAGCAUAUGGGAUGGAAGAGAUGGGCUACAUUUUCUUAUACAGAAAACCACGAAUGGCACCAUGAAACAGGUGCCUAAAGGCGGAUUUAGCAGUAAGAUAAAUAAGCAACUUUACCUUAAGCCCGCUCUAGGGUGCGC
rnacentral:rRNA from 1 species